rnacentral:rRNA from 1 species
GACGAACGCUGGCGGCGUGCUUAACGCAUGCAAGUCGAACGGAAAGGCCCUGCUUGCAGGGUACUCGAGUGGCGAACGGGUGAGUAACACGUGGGUGAUCUGCCCUGCACUUCGGGAUAAGCCUGGGAAACUGGGUCUAAUACCGGAUAGGAGCCAUUUUUAGUGUGAUGGUUGGAAAGUUUUUUCGGUGUAGGAUGAGCUCGCGGCCUAUCAGCUUGUUGGUGGGGUAAUGGCCUACCAAGGCGGCGACGGGUAGCCGGCCGGGGAGGGUGGGCGGCCACAGUGGGAGGGAGAGGCGCACGGGCCCCCGCGGGGGGGGGGAGGGGGGAAUAGUGCAACGAGGGGUGCAGGCCGGAGGCAGCGGCGCGGCGGGGGGGAUGCCGGCUUUGGGUUGAAAGCCUCCUUGCGCUGGGAACAAGGCUUUUUGGGAGGGUACCUAGAAAAAAGGCCCGGGCAAGCCCGGGC